rnacentral:lncRNA from 1 species
AAAUAACAAAGUUGACUUCUACCGAAAAACCGGCAGAGUUUCCCUUAUAACUGGCUCAAUACCAAAACAUUUUCACCUGCCAAACAAGCAUACAUAUAUACAACCAACUGCCAGCAUAUGUAUAUAUACAGUCCAACAGUUCAAAUGUCAAUCUAGGGCAAAACAUUAGAGCGACUACUAAAUGUACAAAAGAGUGAAUCUGUUUACAAAACAAAA